rnacentral:rRNA from 1 species
AGAGUUUGAUCCUGGCUCAGGAUGAACGCUGGCGGCGUGCCUAACACAUGCAAGUCGAGCGAGAAAUGAAGAGAAGAAACUUCGGUAGAUUUUCAUCAUGGAAAGCGGCGGACGGGUGAGUAACGCGUAGGCAACCUGCCCCGUACAGGGGGAUAGCCAUCGGAAACGAUGAUUAAGACCCCAUAAAGCGGAAUAUACACAUGUAAAAACCGUCAAAGAUUUAUCGGUAUGGGAUGGGCCUGCGUCUGAUUAGAUAGUUGGUAGGGUAACGGCCUACCAAGUCAACGAUCAGUAGCCGACCUGAGAGGGUGAACGGCCACAUUGGAACUGAGACACGGUCCAAACUCCUACGGGAGGCAGCAGUGGGGAAUAUUGCACAAUGGAGGGAACUCUGAUGCAGCAACGCCGCGUGAAGGAAGAAGGUCUUCGGAUCGUAAACUUCUGUCCAAAAGGAAGAAGGAAGUGACGGUACUUUUGGAGGAAGCCCCGGCUAACUACGUGCCAGCAGCCGCGGUAAUACGUAGGGGGCAAGCGUUAUCCGGAAUUAUUGGGCGUAAAGAGUGCGUAGGUGGUCACUUAAGCGCAGGGUUUAAGGCAAUGGCUCAACCAUUGUAUGCCCUGCGAACUGGGCGACUUGAGUGCAGGAGAGGAAAGUGGAAUUCCUAGUGUAGCGGUGAAAUGCGUAGAUAUUAGGAGGAACACCGGUGGCGAAGGCGACUUUCUGGACUGAAACUGACACUGAGGCACGAAAGCGUGGGGAGCAAACAGGAUUAGAUACCCUGGUAGUCCACGCCGUAAACG